rnacentral:rRNA from 1 species
CCUACGGGAGGCAGCAGUGGGGAAUAUUGCGCAAUGGGCGAAAGUCUGACGCAGCGACGCCGCGUGAGGGAUGAAGGUCUUCGGAUCGUAAACCUCUGUCAGCAGGGAAGAACGCUCAUUGCGCCAAUCAGCCGUGCGUUGACGGUACCUGCAAAGGAAGCACCGGCUAACUCCGUGCCAGCAGCCGCGGUAAUACGGAGGGCGCGAGCGUUAAUCGGAAUUACUGGGCGUAAAGCGCUCGUAGGCGGUAGGUCAGGUUGAGGGUGAAAUCCCCGGGCUCAACGUGGGAACUGCCUUUGAUACUGGCAAACUGGAGUGUGUGAGAGGAGAGUGGAAUUCCAGGUGUAGGAGUGAAAGCCGUAGAUAUCUGGAGGAACAUCAGUGGCGAAGGCGACUAUCUGGCACAUAACUGACGCUGAGGAGCGAAAGCGUGGGUAGCAAACAGGAUUAGAUACCCUAGUAGUC